AAUAUGGAAAGCUAUUUCAAUAGCAACAACAGCAUAUAGUAUCAUACCUAUCACGUAUGUAUAUUAUUAUAUUUGGUGUAGUUUUCGAUGCGAGCAAAUUCAAUUUUGAAAAUGAAGUUCACUGACUAACACACACUACCUACACUUACACUUGCGUAAUUUAGACAGAGAAAUAAAGUUUAAGUAUAUGUGCCGAUACAUACGGUCGGUCGAUCGUCGACCCGUGGCCAGUGGCGUGCACGGGUGGGUGGAGGUCAGGGGUUAAAUUACCGUAUCCGUCUGCUUGAAACUACAAAAACUAUGUGUAUUCGUUUAAUAAUUUUAUCGUGCAAUUUAACGAGGAACAACGCUCGAUUUAUUUAUUGGCUUUUUUUUGGGCCCGGCUUUCGAAUUCCCGUUGUCGGGUUAGGUAUAACAGAACAAGAUUAUACAGUUUUUUUCGAGAAUCGUGGAUUACUAUUGUUUACUAUGCAUCCUCUCCGAUCGCGAAUUCCCGGGCUAGCCGUCGCAAAUGUCCACCGGGGAACACUAAUAAAAUGCGGACGCAGGGGUUUUUCGUACGCGCGCAGCUCUGUGAAUGA